GUAAUACUCCCUCCGUCCCAAAAUNNNUGUCUUAAGUUUGUCUAGAAAUGGAUGUNNNUUAAGUUUGUCUAGAAAUGGAUGUAUGUAAAUACUAAAACGUGACUAGGUACAUUCAUAUGUAGAUAAAUUUAAGACAAGAAUUUUGGGACGGAGGGAGUAUUAU
rfam:Hordeum vulgare subsp. vulgare, WGS project CAJW01000000 data, contig: morex_contig_119944